AGGGUUCGAUUAUGGCUCAGGACGAACGCUGGCGGCGCGCCUAACACAUGCAAGUCGAACGAGAGAGAGGAAGCUUGCUUCCUCAAUCGAGUGGCGAACGGGUGAGUAACGCGUGAGGAACCUGCCUCAAAGAGGGGGACAACAGUUGGAAACGACUGCUAAUACCGCAUAAGCCCACGGGUCGGCAUCGACCAGAGGGAAAAGGAGCAAUCCGCUUUGAGAUGGCCUCGCGUCCGAUUAGCUAGUUGGUGAGGUAACGGCCCACCAAGGCAACGAUCGGUAGCCGGACUGAGAGGUUGAACGGCCACAUUGGGACUGAGACACGGCCCAG
rnacentral:rRNA from 1 species